AGUGAGCGGCAAAGCUCAAUUUGAAAUCUAGCACCUUCGGUGUUCGAGUUGUAAUUUGAAGAUGGUAACCUUGGGUUUGGCUCUUGUCUAUGUUCCUUGGAACAGGACGUCAUAGAGGGUGAGAAUCCCGUCUGAUGAGAUGCCCAUUCCUAUGUAAGGUGCUAUCAAACAGUCGAGUUGU
rnacentral:rRNA from 1 species